AUAGCUUUUUGCAUAUGAUGC
rnacentral:siRNA from 1 species